rnacentral:rRNA from 1 species
CCUACGGGAGGCAGCAGUGGGGAAUAUUGGACAAUGGGCGAAAGCCUGAUCCAGCCAUGCCGCGUGUGUGAAGAAGGCCUUCGGGUUGUAAAGCACUUUCAGUGGGGAAGAAAGCCUUGGGGCUAAUACCCUCGAGGAAGGACAUCACCCACAGAAGAAGCACCGGCUAACUCCGUGCCAGCAGCCGCGGUAAUACGGAGGGUGCGAGCGUUAAUCGGAAUUACUGGGCGUAAAGCGCGCGUAGGCGGUCUGAUAAGCCGGUUGUGAAAGCCCCGGGCUCAACCUGGGAACGGCAUCCGGAACUGUCAGGCUAGAGUGCAGGAGAGGAAGGUAGAAUUCCCGGUGUAGCGGUGAAAUGCGUAGAGAUCGGGAGGAAUACCAGUGGCGAAGGCGGCCUUCUGGACUUACACUGACGCUGAGGUGCGAAAGCGUGGGUAGCAAACAGGAUUAGAUACCCCGGUAGUC